rnacentral:rRNA from 1 species
UCGAGGACGAACGCUGGCGGCGUGCUUAACACAUGCAAGUCGAACGGUAAGGCCCUUCGGGGUACACGAGUGGCGAACGGGUGAGUAACACGUGGGUGAUCUGCCCUGCACUUCGGGAUAAGCCUGGGAAACUGGGUCUAAUACCGGAUAGGACCAUGGACUUCACGGUUUGUGGUGGAAAGCUUUUGCGGUGUGGGAUGGGCCCGCGGCCUAUCAGCUUGUUGGUGGGGUAAUGGCCUACCAAGGCGACGACGGGUAGCCGGCCUGAGAGGGUGUCCGGCCACACUGGGACUGAGAUACGGCCCAGACUCCUACGGGAGGCAGCAGUGGGGAAUAUUGCACAAUGGGCGCAAGCCUGAUGCAGCGACGCCGCGUGAGGGAUGACGGCCUUCGGGUUGUAAACCCCUUUCAAUAGGGACGAAGCGCAAGUGACGGUACCUAUAGAAGAAGCACCGGCCAACUACGUG